UACGAAGGGUGCAAGCGUUAAUCGGAAUUACUGGGCGUAAAGCGUGCGCAGGCGGUUUGUUAAGUCUGCUGUGAAAUCCCCGAGCUCAACUUGGGAAUUGCAGUGGAUACUGGCAGGCUGGAGUAUGGCAGAGGAAGGUGGAAUUCCCGGUGUAGCAGUGAAAUGCGUAGAGAUCGGGAGGAACACCAGUGGCGAAGGCGGCCUUCUGGACCAAUACUGACGCUCAUGCACGAAAGCGUGGGGAGCAAACAGG
rnacentral:rRNA from 1 species